rnacentral:rRNA from 1 species
CAAGUCGAACGAGAAAGUGGUAGCAAUACCAUGAGUACAGUGGCGCACGGGUGAGUAACACGUGACUAACCUACCUCCGAGUGGGGGAUAACCCCGGGAAACCGGGGCUAAUACCGCAUAACACCGCAAGGUCAAAUGCGUAAGCAGCUUGGAGAGGGGGUCGCGGUUGAUUAGCUAGUUGGUGAGGUAAUGGCUCACCAAGGCAAUGAUCAAUAGCCGGCCUGAGAGGGCGCACGGCCACACUGGAACUGAAACACGGUCCAGACUCCUACGGGAGGCAGCAGUGGGGAAUUUUGCGCAAUGGGGGAAACCCUGACGCAGCAAUGCCGCGUGGAGGAUGAAGUCCUUUGGGAUGUAAACUCCUUUCGAUCGGGAAGAUAAUGACGGUACCGGAAGAAGAAGCCCCGGCUAACUCUGUGCCAGCAGCCGCGGUAAUACAGAGGGGGCAAGCGUUGUUCGGAAUUAUUGGGCGUAAAGGGCGCGUAGGCGGUGCGGUAAGUCACUUGUGAAAUCUCUGGGCUCAACUCAGAGUCUGCAAGCGAAACUGCCGUGCUUGAGUGUCGGAGAGGUAAGUGGAAUUCCCGGUGUACCGGUGGAAAUGCGUAGAUAUCGGGGAGGAACACCUGUGGCGAAAGCCGGCUUUACUAGACGACAACUGACGCUGAAGGCGCGAAAGCUAGGGGAAGCAAACCAGGAUUAGAAUACCCCUGGUAGUCCUAAGCCCUAAACGAAUGGAUGCUUGG